UCAGAUUUAGACCUCUGUAAGCAGCCAUGUUUUAGUCAACAGAGCAAACCAGAAUAUAGUCAAAUAUUUUCAUAAAACUAAAGUAGUAAGACUUCAGUCUUCCUACAAGAAUAGAGUGGAUUUCAAUGAUAAAACCGUCUCUCCAACACUGAAGAACAUGCAGAAGACAGACAGUGGACUCUACAGAGCAAUAAAAGCUGGAGAAUCUGUUACAUACAGAGCAUAUUAUAGAUGCAGUGGAAGAUCCUGCCCUGAUUGUAAACUCAAAACUAGACCUGACCCCUGUAGCUUUACAUGCGAUGGAAAUAACAUUAUCAUCAGUGCCAUCUAUAAUAGCAGCAGCUGUACACAAGAGGACGUGACAUCAUCUGAUAUCUACACUAUAAAAGACUGAACUACAUUGGUGAAUCCAUCAUGUGUAACUACAGCAACCCAGUGAGCUGGAAGACUAACGCUGCACUGAAGAAACAGAAAAUAAAUGAGAAAUGAAGUGGUAAACUCACACAUACUGUUGGGGAGGAGUAGGAAGUGGUUUUGCUGGAGCCUCAACUGACUGAGCACCGGAAAGUUUGGUUCUUUUUUAAUGCUCAUGUUUCCACCACAGACUAAGCUAAAUCUGAUUCUUGUGACAUCUCACCGUUUCCAAGCAACAGAAUUUCCUUUUUGUAGACUUUUGUAACUUGUGGUUCUAUAUGCAUCUUGAUGGCAGUGUCAGCAUGUGCAGAGUGUAAAAAGUGUCAGAAAGUGUAUUUUGCUGAAAUCAUAAGUGGUUUAUUCCAGCAGUAGACAUGUAAAAGACAGGAUUUGGUGUAAAUCUGAGUGUGAAGUUGUUGUAUUCAAAAUGGUCUUUCUUUGAAGGUUGUGUAAAAAUCUAUUAAACACCUUUUGAGCAAUCGAUGUGGUACAUGCUUACAUUAACAAUGAGAACAAAAAGAUUUUUAUUAAAAUUCAGUU